UACGGGGGGGGCAAGCGUUGUUCGGAAUUACUGGGCGUAAAGGGCGCGUAGGCGGUUCGCUAAGUUGAAUGUGAAAACUCUGGGCUUAACCCAGAGCCUGCAUUCAAUACUGGCGGGCUAGAGUUCUGGAGGGGAUAGCGGAAUUCCUGGUGUAGCGGUGAAAUGCGUAGAUAUCAGGAAGAACACCAAUGGCGAAGGCAGCUCUCUGGGACGGUACUGACGCUGAGACGCGAAAGCGUGGGGAGCGAACAGG
rnacentral:rRNA from 1 species